rnacentral:rRNA from 1 species
UACGAAGGUCCCAAGCGUUAUUCGGAAUCAUGGCGUAAGCGCGUGUAGGCGGUCCGGUAAGUCCGCUGUGAAAGUCCAGGGCUCAACCCUGGGAUGCCGGUGGAUACUGCGGGCUAGAGUCGGAAGAGGCGAGUGGAAUUCCCGGUGUAGCGGCGAAAUGCGCCAGAGUAUCGGGAGGAACACCAAUUGGCGAAGGCAGCUCGCCGUGGGACGUUACGUG